rnacentral:rRNA from 1 species
UGGGGAAUUUUGGACAAUGGGCGAAAGCCUGAUCCAGCAAUGCCGCGUGUGUGAAGAAGGCCUUCGGGUUGUAAAGCACUUUUGUCCGGAAAGAGAUCCUUGGCUCUAAUACAGUCGGGGGAUGACGGUACCGGAAGAAUAAGCACCGGCUAACUACGUGCCAGCAGCCGCGGUAAUACGUAGGGUGCAAGCGUUAAUCGGAAUUACUGGGCGUAAAGCGUGCGCAGGCGGUUUGCUAAGACCGAUGUGAAAUCCCCGGGCUCAACCUGGGAACUGCAUUGGUGACUGGCAGGCUAGAGUAUGGCAGAGGGGGGUAGAAUUCCACGUGUAGCAGUGAAAUGCGUAGAGAUGUGGAGGAAUACCGAUGCGAAGGCAGCCCCUGGGCCAAUACUGACGCUCAUGCACGAAAAGCGUGGGGAGCAAAACAGGAUUAGAUACCCCUGGUAGUCCACGCCCCUAAAACGAUGUCAACUAGUUGUUGGGGGAUUCAUUUUCCUUAGUAACGUAGCUAACGCGUGAAGUUGACCGCCUGGGGAGUACGGUCGCAAGAUUAAAA